rnacentral:rRNA from 1 species
AGUGAACGCUGGCGGUAGGCCUAACACAUGCAAGUCGAACGGCAGCACAGUAAGAGCUUGCUCUUACGGGUGGCGAGUGGCGGACGGGUGAGGAAUACAUCGGAAUCUACUUUUUCGUGGGGGAUAACGUAGGGAAACUUACGCUAAUACCGCAUACGACCUACGGGUGAAAGCAGGGGAUCUUCGGACCUUGCGCGAUUGAAUGAGCCGAUGUCGGAUUAGCUAGUUGGCGGGGUAAAGGCCCACCAAGGCGACGAUCCGUAGCUGGUCUGAGAGGAUGAUCAGCCACACUGGAACUGAGACACGGUCCAGACUCCUACGGGAGGCAGCAGUGGGGAAUAUUGCACAAUGGGCGCAAGCCUGAUCCAGCCAUACCGCGUGGGUGAUGAAGGCCUUCGGGUUGUAAAGCCCUUUUGUUGGGAAAGAAAAGCAGCAGGUUAAUACCCCGCUGUUCUGACGGUACCCAAAGAAUAAGCACCGGCUAACUUCGUG